rnacentral:misc_RNA from 1 species
GAUGAAGAACGUAGCGAAAUGCGAUAAGUAAUGUGAAUUGCAGAAUUCAGUGAAUCUUCGAAUCUUUGAACGCACAUUGCGCCCGCUAGUAUUCUGGCGGGCAUGCCUGUCCGAGCGUCAUUUCAACCCUCAAGCCCCCGGGCUUGGUGUUGGGGAUCGGCGAGCCUCCGCGCCCGCCGUCCCCUAAAUCUAGUGGCGGUCUCGCUGUAGCUUCCUCUGCGUAGUAGCACACCUCGCACUGGGAAACAGCGCGGCCACGCCGUUAAACCCCCAACUUCUGAACGUUUGACCUCGGAUCAGGUAGGAAUACCCGCUGAACUUAAGCAUAUCAAUAAGCGGAGGA